CGCAACUGAAACCAGAGGAGGCAAAUCAUCUAGGACGGAUGGGUAGACUACGAAGGAGAAGUGGUAAUGUCUGAAGACAUACAGCUUGAACAGAACUGUCCUGAGGAGACCGUAGCACCAAGUCAGAUGUGGAAAGAGAAGAUAGUUAUAAACGAAGAGGAGGCGCCGCCGGAAUCACCGACUACACCAUCCAGCGAAUCCCAGAACGACUGAGAAAACGGAGAGUCCCGUUCAGAGGACUUAAAAACACCGAACGCCUUGCCAAGAGGUAAACUUGGUAGCUAUCCUUUUCCCUUCAACUAUUUUGCUUAGUUAAUCAGGUUCAUAUCAUCUUGAAAGGGAAAUAAAAAUGUUAAAAAUAGUAAGCCCCAUAUGAGUAUGCUCAUGGCAUAAAACCCAUAAGGUACAUUCACUAUGGUCGCAUAAAAUAAAUAUGUUUUCAUCUUACAAUAAAAAUAUAAAAAUAAUAAGUGCAUGAUCCUGCUAAAUAAAUAACAUUUAUUGAGGAGGCUCAACAUGAUAAAGGCUAGAUAUUUAUGCUAACACCUAAUCAGUUCCACAAAGCUUUGUUGUCUAUUUGAGCUCCACAGAAUUCAAGCAUCAAAGGAGACUAGCCGGCGGAGGACAUAGUAAUCGCUGUCAAGGUACUGCCGACAUUCAAAUAUAUCUCCGUCACCUGCUAGCUACAUCAGAAGAAAUUACGUCAAAAUCCAGCUUGGGGGAGAGCACCCCCAUUUAUCCAGCUAAGUGUUUAUACUCGCGUUUAUACUUUACUCAAAUAAUAAAAAGAUGCAUAAUCAUAAAAAACCCAAAUAAAGAUUUUGUAUAUAUCUUUGCUUAGUUUGAUAAAUAAAUAAAUAAAUAAAGUUUGCUAUGAACCCUUAUGAUAAGCUCUGACAUGGAAAUGAUGAAUAGUUGCUCUGCCAUGACUAGUUCUUAAAAUUGAAAUCUCUCUCAAGUUUAGGCAUAACUGUUAUAAUUUAAACCUGCUCUAAACCUGAACUUGUGGGAAGAGUACUUGAUCUAAAGUCUAAGUCGUUAACAUAUAUGAUAUGGGAAGGUUGAGCUGCUGUUUAUCUGUUCCUAGAGAUGCUAGAAUUGUGGAGAAUUUUAUCUUUGAAAAUCUUUAAAAUAACACAUGAUGAGUUCAUGUAUGAUGAGAGUUUAAAUUCCUACCACAGCCAUAUAUACAUGCUUGCUAGACUUUGAGCCACACAUUUACUUUUUACUGCUUAUGAGCAUUGAGUGUGGUCAAGCUGUGUAGACCCUUAGGAGCUUGUCAUGUGGUUAAAAUCAAGAUUCACUGUCACGUUCACUCACACAUGCUGCUUCUACUCCGGAAGUACGCAUCCCCAUAUAUUCACUAACUUCCAUCUCCAGAGCCACCCAAAAGUAUUCUACUCCUAAUCCGGGAGAGAAUAGCCAAAAAGAUUAUCCUAUCUCUGUUUUUCCCUAUGAAAUAAAUGCUCGAGUUAUCUUGGUUACUACCACUUGCUAUAUUAUUUCAGGAGAUGAAUGCUCUAAAAAAAAAGAAAAAAAAGAGGAUACGAGAAAAUAAAAAGGGGCAAGUGCUCGGAACCUCAAAGAAAAGAAAAAGUGAGACGAGAGGUAAAAAUGGACAAGUGUCCGAUAGUAGAAUUAGGGGUACAAGAUACCCACCUGAGAGGAAAGAAAAAGAAAAUAUAGAGCAUCUCAUUCGUCAAAAAGCUUGAAAGUGCAAGAAAGGUAUGUAUCCCCUUAAAAGAGCAAAAAUAGAAUUAGACUUUCACCAUUGUUAUCACCAUCAUCACCAUACACCAUUCACUUGCCACACAUGCACAUCUUGAUUUGACUUAUUGACUUGUUCUUCUGGAUCCAUGGUUUGACUAUGCAAUAAAUGUCUUGUAAGUAUGUAUUAUCCCACCUAUGAGCUCCAGAUAUCAAAACCUUAUUAGAGUAGGGUGAGAGAGAAGGCAAUAUCACUAUGCCUCAUACCUAAAAUACCACAUACUUUGCGAGAAGGCAUAACCAUUACUGCCUUGGUGAGGAUCCAGAAAUACCACAAAAGAGAGAAUUGAGAGAGUCAUACAAUGAAUCUCUAAGUUUUAUUUGAAAAUCUGCAAAAACUCCAGAGCUAUAGUUAAUCAAAGAACAAGAGACAUGGUGCUUAACUUGACCAUCCUAUCUUUUAACUGCUCCAGACACAAGUGAUGGUUGCAAGCCCCAUGGUCAAAGGUAAAAUGAGUAAGUUUUAAGUCUUAACAGUUUACUCUAACUCAGAGAUGAGAUCUUGCUUGAACGCACAAGACAUGAAACCACUGUAGAAACUCUUGAGUUCAUCCUUGCUCAGGGACGAGCAAGAGGUAAGCUUGGGAGAGUUGUUGACGGUCCUUAAGUACCAAAUAUAACCAUCAAAUAAAUAAAGAAAAGGAUCCAAAUGCAACCAACACCCAGACUUAGGGUUUUAUCUGACAGAAUUCCACGAGUUUUGGUGUUUGUCUAUUUCUGCAGGGAGUUAUCAGGAAAUAUGGAAGAAAGGCCCACACAUCGGGUUUACAUAGAGAUAUUAAUGUGCCGCACAAUUUUCUAUCAUCUAGAACAGUCCAGCAGCCACGGGAACGAACGGGAGGCCGAACGGGCCCGGAGGCAGGGCGCCCGCCCUCCCCCCUUGGGCGCCCGCCGUGGUACAAGCACCAAUCACAGAAUGGAGUACACCAUUACAAAGAUCUCGUCGAGCUGAUCGAAAUGCAUAUAUUAUUUGCUAUAUUUGGAGUUUGGAAUCAAGAGAUAUUAAUAAAAGGACUCCACAUAAAAGAGCUGCGGGAUUAAUUGGGCCCAAAUUAGAUUUCGGUCCAUUAAGGCCUAUGUGCAUUUUAAUGAGAUAUGGUGGAAAGUUUAGUACCACAUCGCCUGCUGAACCAAAAAGGCACAAAAGGAGGGGACUAUAUAAGCAGACCCCCUGGCCCCUGGAGGAGAACAAGUUUUUCAUAGAGUUGAGAGGAGCCCUCGAAGGAAUACCUCUCCUCUAAAUAAAAUUUAUUUUAGGCUUAGCAUCCAAUGUGAGUAGAAUUAGAUCUUCUAGUUUCUACUAGAUUGAGAGAUAUGGAGUGGAGGUGUAGAUCGGAGGAAGGCCGGCCUGUCGGUGUCUACUCCGAGGUUGUACCUGUGGGAUGAAGUCUUCUAACCCGAGGCUUGCUCCUAAGAUUCUUCAGUAAUUCGACUUCUAAUUCUAGUAAGUUCUUGUUUUAUUGUUCUUUGGUUUAUGAGUUUACUUUAAUCCUCUUCCGGUUGAGUAUUAGAGUAAUCAUUGCUAGCAUAAACGUGGUGUUUAGGCUAGGGUACUCAUAGAUAUCCCCUGACUAGCUGGACCGUGGUAGUAGCGAGGAACGUGACAUUUCCGAGUUACCUUUGUAUCCCAUAUCUUGUUAGCAAGACGGGUAGGGUUUAUAGGUGCGGGUCGAACAUCCUUUGUGGUGUCUAGAUUCCGUAAGCUUCCCCAAUAGAACAGUAGAUCAUCCUUACCAAGGUUAGAACGAGACUACGGUUGCAGUCUUCUCUAUACAUCACUCACAUCGAGAAACAUUCUUUGUAGCCUAAAGGGAUAGUAGCAAUAGAUUUGGUUAGUCAGAUGCACCCUAUCUCCCCGUGGUAAAAUAACCUCCCGGGUGAAAUGCUCACCGAUAUCCGUGCGCUUGCGGAUCAUUUCCUUAUUGCGUUACCAAAUAUCAACAGUGACUAGGGCACUCGACUUCCUCUUCGGGCUCCUCGGGUCCUGCUGGCUGGACCUCUAUCUCCUAGGCGACUUUCGGACCUUCUGGAUUCACCCUCUCGACCUCGAAUGAGGUUGCGGUCUCCGGUGCACCUAUUGCAUGCACGAAUGAGUAAGGAAUGUAUGCAUACGAAGAGAAUGAUGAAUGCUUGACAUGCUCAUGAUCAUAACACUUCACUGGACACUCAUUUACUGAGUAAACUUCUUUACAAGCUUACACAAGAGUACCACCACAACUAACAAGGACACAUCAACUUACACAAUUAAACAGCAACAACCAAACAACAGGGCAGCUCAAAGAACUACUCAUAACUGGAGAUAUAUAAAUCCAACAGACAUGAAUUAAGACAUUCUGGAAAGCUUAUGAAAUUGUUUACAUUUCAUCUUUAGAGAUCACAGCAAGAUUCAGAAGUUAAACCAGUCAAUUUAAACAAGGUUCCAGGUUCUGUCCCAGAAAACAAAGAGCACCUAGUUCUGGAACUUAACUUGGAAAAGCUAUAGCUUUUAUACUAUUGAGCCAAAUGACCCCAAAUUUAAACUACAGCUAGAACACAAAGUUUACAACAAAUUUGAUACAGAAAAGUUUCCAGAAACAAAUUUAUCAUCAAGCAAUAAUCAGAUUACUCUCUUGCUGUCCAUAACAGCUAUAAAGCCUUUAAUUAAUUAUUUGUUAACAUAGUAAAAGCAUAUUUAGUGUCAACCAAGUGAUUGAUAAGAACAAACAUGAUCUAAAACUACCAGAAAACCACAUGUUAACUACUAAAUACUUAAAUAUAAAGCCUUUAUUAAUUUACUUCCAUAAAAGAGCAUAAUUAUGAGAUACACGCAAGAGUGCUCAGAAAAAUAUAUACAAACAUUACAGAAGCACAAGCAAGACACCUAGGCAUCACCAUAAAAUUUUUAGAGCAAUUGCACAUGCCAAACUUAAAAUACUUAAUUAACAUGUGACAAGGUGAUUAUUUCAUAAAUUAAGAAACAUGGUUUAAACAGUGUCAAACAAUAGAUUUCAGAUUAUUUACAAUAUACUACUAUCAUGACCAUGCUUGACACCAAUGGAGAACACCAGCACAAGCAUACAUCAUUUACUAUGAUUUAAACAAAGAUUUAAGCAAUAUUAUUAACAUAAAUUACAUACUAGAGAUACAGUGCUUCAAAAAUCAUGAAAUAUUUACCAGAGCAUACUAGUACCACAUAAAGUAUAGCAUAAACAUUUCACAGCAUUUGGAGCAGUAUAACAAGAGAUAUGAAUUUACAUUGAAAUAAUAAGAUUAAUUCAUAACAAUUAUUUUUCACAGAGAACAUGGUACAUUUUAUAUUUUUAUUAAAAACUAGUCUACCAAAGGAGCACAACAAAAUUUGAAAAACCUAAAAAGGACUUUCCAAACUCCAGUUAUGAUUUUUCCAAAAACAGCACAAACCCUAAAUUCAAACAGAAUGAGAGAGGGACUGACAAGGAGACCCCACAGGUCAACGGACCCCACGCGUCAGUGAGUCCAAGGACAGAGGCGAGGCUUGACUGCCGGAAAGCUCGUCGAUGGUGAGGUUUGGGUGAUGAUCAAGGGCACCAUCGUGCUCCUCACUCUCUUCCGCGACGAUUGGUACCAGAAACCCUAGCUCUAAUGCGCUCUAAGGACCUCGCCCUCACGAAUGGCGGCAUGGCGGCGGUGCGCGGUCCAACACUGGCGUCUCUGAUCGGAGACCGAGCGGUAGAGGAUCUCAUCGAGCAUCAGCAUGACGAGGCAAAGCUAUAGGGACAAAAACGAGAGGGAAUGAUGGACCAGAGAGCCCUGGCCACGACGCCGGUGGCCAUGGCGGAACUCCGGCGAGGUGAGCUUGCGAUGGAGAAGGCAAUGCGGGCUUACCGAGGCUCGGCAACUGCAGCCGACGUGACGACGGUGACGCGGGGAAGCUGGCGAAGCGCUGGGUGGAGUCACUUGGCCGGAGACGCCAUGACACAAGCUCACGAGCUCGCCGAAGCGACGAGGAGACGCGGAGAAGACGGUGAGCGAGAGAGAGAGGGCCAGGAGGAGAAAUGACGCUGUCCACACCACCUGGGACGUUGUGGCGACCUUGUGGACGCGCCGGGCACUGACAAAUGAGACCAACAGCGACGUACGGACGCCAUGGGUCCAGACACGCGGUGGCACCGGCAAGCUCCUCCCCAAUGACGCUGCCCUCAUUCAGUCUGAAACCCGACUGAAACUUGAUUUUGAACCUUGAUUAUCUCCUAAUUUGAUUGAUGGUUUUGCUGGCUAAUUGCUCCAUGAUGUAGAGCUACAUGAGGACUCAAGCUUUGCUUAAAGGAUCACAACUUGAUUUGGCCUGGAUUUCAAACUGGAAGCCACCAAAGUAACCCUCGAGCAAACUGGGUGAAUUCCAGACUUAGAAAAAUUUCUAAGUGCUGGAAACAGCCCCAAAUUCUGCCUUGUGGGCCACUUUUGAGCCUGCUCUGCACAUUUUCAUGAAUUGACUCCAAAAGAACUUUUGUUGCGUAGGAAAUUUGCCACAACUUUGCUGAAGGGUGCAUCAACAUGCAAGAAGUCUAGCAUGGUCUUCUUAAAGGAUCUUUGAAAAGCACUCUAGAGGGUCAAACUUGGUCAAACAAGGAUAACUAGGACCUUAGUUCACUUUUGGGCUAAACACUCGACAUGAACAUUGUUCAUUAUGGUAUGUUAAGCAAAAUUAAACUACUUACCAAGGUCUAGGACACAAACAAGAGCAUGGGAAAAACAAACACAAGUAUAGAGAGCAUAAUUAAACAAGUUAAGCAACAUCUAUGCAUAAAAUGACAUGUCCCAAGGCAUGUGAUGAUUAUGGUAUGCUUAUGAAGAUGAUCAUGCUCAUGUCAUGUGUAACACUCCUAGUGUUAGCUUGCAUGUUAACCAUGAGCAUUUCAUCAAAAUAAGCAUCAUAAUACUCACUCAUGAGCAUCAUACCAUGAUCACAAGUCAUUUUGGUGUAUACACUAUGUGAUUGAAUUGCUUAUAUGGCUUGUUUUAUGUGUAAAGUAUUGUAUGACCAAUGUACACAAGUACACAUUGUCUUCCAAAAUACUUUAUUCAUGUUUAAAAUAUCAUUUAGAACAAAGUUUAUGUUGGGAGUUUCAUCCAAAGAUGCCCCUAAGUCAUGGUUAGCCCUAGGUUGACCAAGUUGACCCCCCUAGACCUCUUUUCCAAGAUCUUUUAUGAAACAAGGGUUAGCAACCUUGCAUGUAAUUGAUCUCUAAACCAAACUUGUAGUAAAUUUUAUAAACUACAAAAGUUGUUUUGGUACCUUCGCAUGAAAAUGGAUGGAACCUGACUAAAAGUGGCCCACAAGACAGAAAUCAGUGCUGUUUCCAACACUUAGGCGAAUUUGGCUAAGUCUGGGUUCUGCAGUUUCGAGGUAGGGUACUUGGGAGCCUUGUAGAUUGAAUUCUAGGCCAAACCUGACUUUGAUCCUUUAAGCAAAUUGUAGAACUCAUGUAGCUCUAUCCUUUGGGACAAAUUGGAGCGAAAACCACUGAGUGAAUCGCGAGUAAAACGUUGACGAACAUCGGAUUUCAGUCACUAGGAACGGCGACUGAAUCGCUCGAUUCAGUUUGGACAGUCACCGUCCGCCACCGCGUGUCUGGCCAGGUGGUGGCCGUACACCGUCGACGGCCCUCCUGUUAUCUUGGACGACGCCCUCAAGUUGCCACAAAGCCGUCUCGUGCCUCAGACACGCCACUCACCCCUCCAGAGCUCCACAUUUCGCCCGCCAUCGUUCUCUGCGAGCUCCGCCGCACUUCGACGAGCUCUCCGACCGCACCACCGCGUCCCGAGCCGAGCUGCUUCGCCCAGAGCUCCGCCGCGACGUCCUCUACCUCGACGUCCGUCUCUUUCUCCGAGCUGAGCACCGAUGAGGUCACAUUGCCAACUCCGUCGCGAACUCCACCUCGCUGGAGUUCACAAAGAUCACCGGCAACAUGGCCAGACCUCUAUGGUUCACCUCUGACCGUGAUUCUUAAUCCUACCUCUUCCCCUUGCUUCACUCUUGCUCGUCCUCAACCUCUACUAGGUCGCCAUGGCCUCAGUUCGCCGGCUUAUGGCUGCGUACAGCCGCCGCUCCGCCAUUCCCGACGGCGAGCACCUUAGAGUCCAGUAGAGCGUAGACCAAGUAGGUCAAAUAGGUUCACCUUGAUGAGAGGAGCACGUUGAUGCUCUCGGUAUCCCCGGAGACCUCGCCGUCGAUGAGAUCUCCGGCGGCCAAGCUCGUCUCUGCUCCCUGUCUCUCUGUCGCGUGGGUCCCCUCUGUCAGCAGGCCCCACCCGUCAACCUCUCUCUCUCCCCUGUGUCACCUUGUUCUGCAGAUUCUGAGCUGUUUUUAUAAAAUCAUAACUUGAGUUAGACAGAUCCAAAUGGAGUGAUUCUAAUUUUGUCAUACUCUGGAGUAGCUCUAGGUUUUAUUAAAAAUAUGAAACAUGCUAUGUUUUUCCAGAAAUAAAUAGAUAUGAUUUAAUCCUUGAUAAAAAGAAGGUAAUUAUAUCUUGAGAUCUGUAAGUCUUAUCACCAUGCAAAUUUAGCAGCUUGUUAUAUAUGCUAUGUGUAGGCUCUGAUGAAUUUCUGAUGAUUUUUGGAUUCCUGUUGGUGAAGUUAUAAUUAUCCCUUGUUUAAAUAGGAGUUUCUUGUGGUAUUUUUAAUAAAUAAAUUAUAACUCCUUUUAUGAUGAAACUUGCGGAGUGAUGUAAUCUUGUGAUUUCAAAGCUAAGAAAAAUCUGAAAUCUGUUGUUUCACACUUUUUGAUAGGGUUUCACAUUUGUGCCUUUAAUGCCAUUGGUAGCUUGUCAUUUUUAUACAUCACAAUCUGCAUGUGCAAGAGCCAUGAAAAUUUUACAGUAACCUUGUAGUAGCCUAGAUAGCUUGCUGUAAUUUUGUUAUAAUUUUUGGAGCACUUGUACUACAUGCUCAUUAAUUCACCUUAUUAAUCAAAUAAAUAUAAAAGUGGAUAAUAAAGAUGAGUUUAAACCUUGUCAUGAUGUUUUAUGGUGCUUCUUAGACAUGUUCUAGCUACUGGUACUUUUGGUUUGAACCAAUGUUACAUUCCUAAUAUGUGCUAAAAUAUUAUUUGGCUAUUUUUGCCUUGUUUAGAUCAUCUUCUGGGUAGCUGAUAGCAAUUGCUUAAGAACUGCUUGAAUAUGAAGUUUUCUAGAAAACUUGUCUAUAACAAACUUGUAGCUAACUUACUUAUCUACCUUGUGCCCAAAUUUGAUAGCAUUUGGCUGAGUAGUUUAAAAGCUGUGGCUAUUACAAGUAGCUACUGUGAAGUGCUUGUUCUCUGGAUUUUCCAGAGCAGGUCUGAGACUUUGUCUGUUUUAGCCCAUUUCGGUUGGGAAUCUUUCUAUGAUGUCUAAAAGUGAAUUAUAGAUAAUUUGUUAAGCUUUCGAGAAAGUGCUUACUUGCUUAGUUUGGCCAAAUGAUGUCUAAGCUAUAGCUAAAACUUGUGACUACCCAAUCUUCCCAUCAAACCAGUGGAUGAGUGUAAGUAGCUAAGGUUGAUUAGCUUGUCUAGUUAGCCUCUCUACCAGAGAAGAAGGAGGUGGAGUUCCUAGGGUUGAGGCGGGAUUCGGCACUUUUGAGAAAAAUAAGUGUAUAUUUUCUAUUGCGCCGGUGGGAUUUUUUGAGAAGUCGCGGGAGUGUUUUCUCACUGAGAAACACUCACCGGACACUGAGUGUGGAGGCACCGGACGCUGGCCUCAGCGUCCGGUGUACUUGACCCUGCUAGGGUUAAGCACCGGACCCACUCUGAGAGCGUCCGGUGCGUCCGGUGUGUGGGUGUUUUGCGACCCUCUCUGCGCAUGGGUCCGGUGAGCACCGGACGCUACCGGUGCUUAGCGUCCGGUGACCCGCAGGAUUGCGGAACUCUCUGCGCAUGAGUCCGGUGUGCACCGGACGCGUUCGGUGUGGACCUGCAGAGCGUCCGGUGAUCCGUAGGUGACCGUUAGGAUCCGACACGCGAGAUUUAGGAUGGACACGUGGCCAACUCCAGUGCACCGGACGCAGGGAGUCGAGCGUCCGGUGCUCACUUAGUAGCGUCCGGUGCCCCCGAUUUCAGCCCAGUGAAAGUGGCCAACGGCUAGUUUCUUUGAGGGGCUUAUAAAUAGAAGGUGGCUAGCUUUGGGAGGUUGUCACUUGCAUAUUUGAUUACUUGAGACAUACAUUGAGCUAGAGAGCACUCCCUCCACUCUUCUGCUUGCUUGAUUGCUCAUCCUAGUGAGAUUGAGUGAGAUUCAAGUGCAUUGCUUUGAGAGUUGCAUUUAGUAGCACUUGAUUCUUGAGUUUGCUGCGGAUUUCUUGUUACUCUUGGGUGUUUCCCGACGCCCUAGACGGCUUGGAGCGGCAGUGGUGUUGAGCUCAUGAUUGGAGAUUGUUUCGAGCCUCACCAAGUGAUUUGUGAGGGGUUCUUGAGCCUUCCCUGCGGGAGAUCGCAAUUGGCUACUCUAGUGGAUUGCUCGUGGCUUGGAGGAUCCCCAUCUUGUGAGUGGAUGUGCAGCACCCGCUGAGGGUUUGGCUUUGGAUUGCCAAUUAGCUCGUGAUCCAUCAAGUGGGUGUAUCGCCACAACGAGGAGUAGCUUGCCGGGAAGCAAGUGAACCUCGGUAAAAAAUCUUGUGUCAUCUCUUGCCGAGGUCUCUCUUCUGAUUGUGUACGUGAUUGAUUGGAUAUAUCUCGUCUCUACAACGUCGGUAUAACAAUCACUCUCCUCUCUUUACUUACUUGCCUACCUAGUUAGUUUAGCUUGUGUAGCUUAGUUCUUGCUAGAAUAGAGUUGUUGUGUUUUAGUGUUUAGCCCUCUUGCUAGACUUGUUUAGGUGGCUUGCAUAGCUUAGUUGUGCUAGUGCUAGAAUAGCUUCGCCUUUUGUUUUACUAAUCAACUUGUCUAGUUGAAGUUUGUAGAAAUUUUAAAUAGGCUAUUCACCCCCCUCUAGCCAUUUGGACCUUUCAAGUGGUAUCGGAGCCGAGGCACCAUUUUUUUGAGGCUUAACAACCUACGGUGAAGAAAUGGCUCUUAGUUUGCAUAUCAACAACACCAAGAAGGCACCUUACUUUGAUGGCACAAAUUAUGCUUAUUGGAAGGUCAAGAUGACCACCCAUCUCAAGUCAAUCAAUAGAGAAGUUUGGAAGGUGACCGAAACAAAGUUUGAGGUUGCAAAUGAGAAUGCACCAACACCGGUUGAAGAGAAGAAGCUUCAAUGCAAUGAUAUUGCCAUUAGUGCUCUUCAUGAAGCUCUUGAUGACAAGACCUUUGAGCAAAUCAAGAACAUUGAGGUUGCUCAUGAUGGAUGGGCAAAGCUAGAAGAAACAUUUGAGGGCACCAAAGGUACCAAGACCGCCAAAGCUUACAUCCUCCAAGAAAAUUUCUCAAGCUUCAAGAUGCAAGAGGAUGAAAGUGUGCCAGAGAUGUUUCACUGGUUGCAAGUCAUUGUGAAUGAACUCAAGGCACUUGGGGAAGAAGUAAAAGAUAGUCAAUUCUCUAUGAAGUUCUUGAGAAGCUUGCCCAAGAGAUUUGACACAUUGAUCACCUUGCUAGUCAAGACAACUCUUAGUGAAUCAACUCCCCAACAAGUCUUUCAAGAGGUGAUGACUGAUGAUGCCUAUAGAGAAGAUGAUGAAAAGGAUGAGUUGAUCAAGAAGAAGAAGAAGUAUGGUGACAAGAAAGAUGAUGAGAAGAAGAAAAGUGUGGCAUUCAAGGCCUCCACAUCCAAGGGCAAAGCCAAGCAAGAAUCAUCAAGUGAAGAAGAAGCGAGCUCUUGUGAUAGUGAUCAAGAUGAGGAGAUGGCUCUUCUUGUCAAGAGAUUUGGCAAGUUUAUGAAGAAGAAAGGCUAUCGGGCAAGAAGGAAGAAGAGCUCCUCCAAGAAGAAUGACUAUUCCAUGAGGUGUUUUAGAUGCCAUAGCAAGGAUCAUCUCAUCGCCAAGUGUCCUUAUGAUAGUGAUGAUGAAGAUGCUAUCAAGAAGGAAAGAAAGAAGCAAAAGAAAAAGCAAGAAAAGAAGGAAGGCUCAAACAAGAAGAAGGGUGAUGCCCAUGUUGCAACUUGGGAUAGUGAUGACUCCUCUAGUGAUGAGGAGAACACCAAGAAGAAGGCGCAUGCUAGCAUUGCCAUUCAACGAAAAAGCUCCAUCUUCGACACUCCAUCAUGCUUCAUGGCUAAGGCCACUAAGGUAUCAUCCGAUGAUGAGAGUGACCAUGAUAGUGAUAGUGAUAGUGAUGAUGAUGAACCAACUAAAGAUGAACUAAUCACUAUGCUAGAAGAUUGCACUCAACAUUAUAAAGAAACUAGAAAGGAGUGCAAGGCCUUGCUUAAGGAUAAGAAAACCCUUGAGCAAGAACUUGAUGAGAUUAGAGCAUCUUAUGAGAGUCUAAAGGAAGACCAAAAGAAGCUUCAAAAGGCUCACACUAAGCAUGAAGAAGCUCAUUCCUCUCUAGUUAACAAGUGUGAAAAUGAGCCAACUAAAAUGAAGAAAGCUAAAACUUGCAACAUAGGCCUAACAUGUGAUAUAUUAAGUAAGCCUAUUGUUGUUGCUUCUACUAACCCUUCAUGUAGCACAUCUACAUCAUCCUCAUCUAGUAGUGAUGGUUUCACUUGUGACACCACACUAAAAGUUGAGAAUGAAGUUCUCAAGAAGGAGGUGAAAGAGCUCAAUCACACCUUAGCCAAGGCUUAUGGUGGUGAGGACCGCUUGCUUAUGUGCUUGGGUAGCCAAAGAGCUUCUCUCUACAAAGAGGGAUUAGGCUAUAACCCCAAGAAUGGCAAGGCCGCCUUUGCUCCUCACAAGACUAGUUUUGUGAAGAACAAUGGUCGGUAUUGCAAAGCUUGCAAGCAAGUUGGUCACCUAGAGCAACAAUGCAUGAACAAGAAACCCAAAGCUCAUGUAUCCUCAAUUAAGCUCAAUUCCUUUUAUGUGCUUACCAAGGAUACAAAAGGUGUUCAUGCUAAGUUCAUUAGUGCACCAUGGAUGGGCUCAAAGAAGAAAGCCAUUUGGGUACCAAAGAGCUUAGUUGCUAACCUUGGAGGAUCCAAUCAAGUUUGGGUACCUAAAAAGAAUUGAUCUUGUCUUGUAGGUCAAUUACAAAGCCGGAGGAAGGCAUUGGGUGCUUGAUAGUGGGUGCACUCAACAUAUGACCGGGGAGUCUUUUAUGUUCAAAUCAAUUGAUACAAAUCAAAAUGGUGGCUUUGAUUCUAUCACUUUCGGCAACAACAAGAAAGGCAAGGUCAAGGGGCUUGGUAAAAUUGCUAUCUCAAAUGACAUGAGCAUAUCAAAUGUGUUGCUAGUUGAGAGCCUUGAUUUCAAUCUCUUGUCAAUUGCACAACUUUGUGACCUUGGUUUCAAGUGCAUCUUUGGAAGUGAUGAUGUUGAGGUUGUUAGUGUUGAUGGAUCAAACUUGAUAUUCAAAGGUUUUAGGCAUGGUAGCUUAUACUUGGUUGAUUUCAAUGAUAGUGACACUCAAUUGCCAUCAUGCCUAAUUAGCAAAUCAAGUUUGGGUUGGUUGUGGCAUAGAAGGCUUGGUCAUGUUGGAAUGAAACAAUUGAACAAACUAUUGAGGCAUGACUUAGUUAGAGGUUUGAAGGAUGUCACUUUUGAGAAGGAUAAACCAUGUAGUGCUUGUCAAGCCGGAAAGCAAGUUGGAAAUGCACAUCCUAAGAAAAGUGAAAUGAGCACAUCAAAGGCAUUUGAGCUAUUGCACAUGGAUUUAUUUGGGCCAACAACAUACACUACCAUUGGUGGCAACAAGUAUGGAUUUGUGAUAGUAGAUGACUACACUAGAUACACUUGGGUGUUCUUCCUCUAUGACAAGAGUGAUGUUUGUGAUCUAUUCAAGUCUUUUGUCAAGAGGGUGCAAAAUGAGUUUGAAACCACUAUCAAGAAGAUUAGAAGUGACAAUGGUAGUGAAUUCAAGAACACAAGAAUUGAGGAAUUAUGUGAUGAUCUUGGCAUUGGACAUCAAUUCUCUCCAACAUACACUCCUCAAUCCAAUGGUGUAGUUGAAAGGAAUAAUAGAACCUUGAUUGAUAUGGCUAGAUCAAUGCUUAGUGAAUACAAUGUUAGCCAUUCAUUUUGGAGUGAAGCUAUCAACACGGCUUGCUAUUGUAGCAACCUUCUCUAUUGCCAUGGAAAGCUUGGGAAGACACCAUAUGAGCUAUUGAAUGGAAGAAAGCCCAACAUUGCAUACUUUAGAGUGUUUGGUUGCAAAUGCUACAUUCUCAAGAAAGGCACUAGAUUGAGCAAAUUUGAGGAGAAAUGUGAUGAAGGGUUCUUACUUGGUUAUUCCACCACAAGCAAAGCAUAUAGAGUUUGGAACUUGACAAAUGGCACAUUGGAAGAAGUCCAUGAUGUUGAGUUUGAUGAAACCGAGGGAUCUCAAAGUGAAGCUCAAAAUCUUGAUGAUGUGAGAGGAGAUCAAUUGGAAAAUGCAAUGAAGAACAUGGAUGUUGGUGACAUAAGGCCAAUGAAAGUUGAUGAUGAUAAUGAUAUUCACAUGAUCAAUCAAGAAGUGCAAAUUGAUACAAAUCAAGCAAGUACUAGUGGAUCUCAUGAUGAUGAUCAAAAUCAAAAUCAAGCUAAUGGAAGCAAUCAACUUCUAAUACUCCAACCUACAAGCAUAGCAAGGGAUCAUCCAUUGGAUCAAGUCAAUGGUGGUAUUCAAAGUGGUGUGCAAACAAGAUCAAGGCUAGCAUCCUUUUGUGAGCACUACUCAUUUGUCUCAUUUGAGGAACCAAAGAAAAUAGAAGAUACAUUAAAGGAUUCUGAUUGGGUAAAUGCCAUGCAUGAAGAUUUGAACAACUUCAUAAGAAAUCAAGUGUGGGAGCUUUUCGAGAGGCCAAAGAACUACAAUGUGAUUGGUACCAAGUGGGUCUUUAGAAACAAGCAAGAUCAAGAUGGUGUAGUUGUGAGAAACAAAGCAAGACUAGUAGCACAAGGUUAUACUCAAGUUGAAGGUCUUGACUUUGGAGAAACAUAUGCACCGGUUGCAAGAUUGGAGGCAAUUAAAUAUUAUUAGCCUAUGCUUGUGCCCACAACAUCAAGCUAUAUCAAAUGGAUGUGAAGAGUGCAUUUCUCAAUCGAUACAUAAAUGAGUUGGUUUAUGUUGAACAACCUCCCGGUUUUGAAGAUGACAAGAAACCCAACCAUGUUUACAAGCUCAAGAAGGCAUUGUAUGGUUUGAAGCAAGCACCUAGAGCAUUUUAUGAGAUAUUGAGAGAUUUCCUUCUCUCUAAAGGGUUCAAGAUGGGAAAGGUUGACACUACCCUCUUCACCAAGAAGCUAGGCAAUGACUUGUUUGUGUUGCGAAUCUAUGUUGAUGAUAUCAUCUUUGGAUCAACCAAUCAAGACUUUUAUGAAGAGUUUGGAAGAAUGAUGGCAAAUGAGUUUGAGAUGUCCAUGAUUGGAGAGCUUAGUUACUUCCUUGGACUUCAAAUCAAGCAAAUGAAGGAUGGCACUUUUGUAAGUCAAGGCAAGUACAUCAAGGACAUGAUCAAGAAGUUUGGGUUGCAAGAAUCUAAACCAAAGAGCACACCUAUGGGCACAAAUGAUCAAUUAGGUAGUGAUGCAAGUGGGAACAUGAUACAUCAAAAGCUAUACCGAUCCAUGAUUGGAAGUUUACUCUAUGUCACCGCAUCAAGGCCGGAUGUGAUGUUUAGUGUGUGCAAAUGUGCAAGAUACCAAGCUUCACCUAGAGAAAGUCACUUGAAGGCAACCAAAAGGAUAUUGAGGUAUCUUAAGGGCACUCAUAAUGUUGGAUUAUGGUAUCCCAAGGGGUCUAACUUUGAAUUGAUUGGAUAUUCAGACUCCGACUAUGGUGGAUGCAAGAUUGAUAGAAUGAGCACAAGUGGCACUUGUCAAUUGCUAGGAAGGUCUCUAGUUUCAUGGUCAUCAAAGAAACAAAAUAGUGUUGCACUAUCAACCGCCAAGGCCGAAUACAUUAGUGCCGGUAGUUGUUGUGCACAAUUGCUUUGGAUGAAAGCUACCUUGAAUGACUUUGGAAUCAAAUUCAAGAAUGUGCCUUUGCUAUGUGACAAUGAGAGUGCAAUCAAGAUGACACAAAAUUUGGUUCAACAUUCAAGAACCAAGCACAUUGACAUAAGGCACCAUUUCAUAAGGGACCAUCAACAAAAGGGUGAUAUUAGCAUUGAAAGCAUUGGCACCGAAGAUCAACUAGCCGACAUCUUCACUAAGCCACUUGAUGAGAAGAGAUUUUGCAAGUUGAGGAAUGAAUUGAACAUACUUGACUUCUCCAACUUGAGAUGAGCGCACCUCCACAUUUAUAUGACAUGCCUCUCUUCCAACAAAGCAAGGUAAAGAUGGUUGACAUAGCAUUCAUACUUUGCUAAGGACAUGAUUAGAAAAUAUAGACAUGUUUGCAUGACAAAUAGGAUCAUUCAUGAAAAUCAAAAGAUUUUGAUGUAUGUAUGGUACCACUAUUGCUUUUAUGUUUGAUUGAACUAGUAUCUUGUAUUAUACUUUUAUACUUUUAUCUUUUUAUUUUUUCCAUCUUUAUGGAUAACUCAAAUUCCAUACCUAUUAUUGAAUUCUUUGCACCUUCGGAGACCAGCCAUAGACCAUGGGAGUCAACAAGUCCUGCCCCUAAUUAUGAUCUGUGUCCGGAGUUGAUUGCAAUAGGUCAAAACCAACCAUUUUCUAUAGCUGAGGUCAUAUCUUUUAAUCAAGAAGAUAAUGAACUUUUAAGCUACACCUAGGGAAUCUUUUAAUCUUUCUAUAAAUUCUGGUUUAAACCUAGCCCUAUAAUCUUUUAAUUUUUCCUGGAUAUUUUCACAUUGGUCUUAAUCAUAUAACCUUUGGUAGAGUUUUUCUUUCUUUAUCUGUUAGUAAAGCAAGGUAUGUCUUCAUUUGUGGACAUCCUUCUUGCACUAGUCUUCAUAAAAAAUUCUUAGAAAUAGAGAAGGAAUCAUCUCCCAGACGAGGAAAGGAAGUUUCAAUAGCCAAUUUCCAAACAUUUCAAUCCCAUGGUUUGGCUAUCCAACCCAUCCUUGAUCUUAAUAAUUUCUACUAUGCUCACCAAGACCACAAGGAGGAUCGAGAAGAGCAACAUCAAUGGCUAGAGGGCAUUAAAAAUCCAUGUGCUAUCACAACUAAACGGAUGGACAAAACAAACUUGAGAGACAAUCCUAGAGGAAUUUUAAGCAUUCAUGAAAAAUCAUCCUUGGAGUUUGAUUAUGAGAGAAACAACAGUGAGCAUGGAAGUUAUUUCAUAAAUACCUCACCAAGUCCUUGCUCAUAUAAAACAUCUUCCCAAUCUAUUGGUCUCUCCAACAUCACCACAUUUAAGAUCUCCAACCCCCUCUUCCUUUUUGUUUAUAAAAACUUUAAAAGGGCGGUUGUCGAUGCAUAUGUCUAUAAUAAAUAUUGCAGAUCUCGUUGAGUUGAUUGAUGGUUUCCCAAGGACAAGCUUAGUGUCCUAAAACAAGCACUUAUCAGAUCAUAACAUGAACUUUUAAUUAUUUGCAACAUUACCUUGUGUAUUAAGCAUAUAAAGAUAAUUAUAGAAAUAUUCCUUCGGGUAUUCGUGUCACUAACCUUUCUAGGAUUGGAGCAAGAAGAUCCGGUGAAUGACAAGCGCAAGGUAUGCCCAACCAAUCAUCAUGCAACAUUGAAUUAAAUUCAUCCAAUCUUGAAUUUUGAAAAAUUCAAGCUUGGGGGAGUACUUCACAUAAAAACAUCUUUUGCCAUGUUGCUAUGUUGGUUAUCCCUACCUUUGAGACAUGCUUGAUUUGUUAAAUACUAAUCACACUACUUCAUCUCCACUUAAGUAGAUCUCUAUAAGCCAUCGUGUUACCUAUGUUUAUCCUAGUAAGUGUUAGUUUUUAAGUACUGGACAUACUUCCAUUGGCAUUUAAAUUAAGCGUGGUGCUUAGGUUAAAUAGCCUUCCUUAAUGUGAUUAGACAUGGAGUCUAGUUUGGUUACUGAACUAAAAACUGCUUGAGUAGGCAUUGGUAAAUUUUGUCGGACUAACCCCUGCAGGAAAACUUUCAAUAUCAACCUGGGAAGUCCUGAGAUACAAACUCACAUUGGAGAUAAAGGAGACACAUGAAAUUUAAUGACUUGUACAAGAAGGACAUAGCUCAUUCAUCAUAAAGAGAUGAUCCAUGGAGGGUGCCACAAACACGAUGCACAACUGCUAAGAAAGGAAAGCUUCCACAAGGUGAUACUAUACCAUCACUUUCAUAAGCUUCUCCUUCGUUCUGGCAUACACAUGAAUAAAAGAGACAAACAUGUAUGAUUUGUAGCUCCAAAUUAACCAACCCAAUUAAUUCAACAUGUUUAGUCCUUUAAUCUUUGUUCUUAGUACUACCUUCGUGAUCCCACACUCCUAAUCAUAUAAGCUAAUAUGUUGCACAUUCAAUCUUUGGAAGAUAUAAACAUAGAUUAUCUUUCCAUUAGGUUGAGCCAUCUGAUCUGACAAAUGUUUCAAAUGCUACACUCAUGAUCCUAUCAACUUUGUCUUGCUCACUAUGCUUAAGGUUAGAGAAGAACAAAUACACUUUUGGUUCUGUUGGUGUUUUCCACCAACAGGGCCCAUGCACUUGAUCUCUGCCUUGUCUCUAUGAACAGGUACACUUCAAGCAAAACAUGGAGGAGUUUUACAACUCCCAGACUCCACCAAGUGAAGGACCUGGAUCUACGAGCACAAACACAGUGAGUAGGAUACUGCCAACACCGUACUUCGAACUGCUGGGCAAACGAAGAACAUGGGUGAUACUGUAUUAAGAGGUGCAGACGUCAAGGUCCACAACUAAUGAAAUUAUGCACCUAAAGGAUGAAGACGGUGAGAAGUCUUGUCCAAAAGACUUAAAACAUUGGAUCCUUGUCGGAGGAGGUCAAGAUCGUCGACUCAAGUCGCCUUUCCUGAUCAAGAAGGACGACCCUGAUGUUCCAAGCAUCGAGUGCACGAUCAAUGGAUACUCUUUUCAGAAGACACUCUACAACACCAGAUCUGACGUCAACAUAAUGGCCGCAGUCACUUAUCAGCUCCUGCAUGGAACCAUGCCCCUACAACCAAUAUAUAUUCAGCUCCAGAUGAUUUUUAGGUCAUUGACAUGGGAGAAGACGAGUAUGAUCCACCCACCAUCCUUCGAAGACCGUUCCUCAACAUUAUCAAAGCCAUCAUCUAUAUUGGAACCAGAGAAGUUCACAUGCACUUCCCUCUGAAGAAGGCGACGCAACUGAAACCAGAGGAGGCAAAUCAUCAAGGACGGAUGGGUAGACUACGAAGGAGAAGUGGUAAGGUCUGAAGACAUACAGCUUGAACAAAACUGUCCUGAGGAGACCGUAGCACCAAGUCAGAUGUGGCAAGAGAAGAUAGUUAUAAACGAAGAGGAGGCGCCGCCGGAAUCACCGACUACACCAUCCAGCGAAUCCCAGAACGACUAAGAAAACGGAGAGUCCCGUUCGGAGGACUUAAAAACAUCGAACGCCUUGCCAAGAGGUAAACUUGGUAGCUAUCCUUUUUCCCUUCAAUUAUUUAAAUUAGUUUGCUUAGUUAAUCAGGUUCAUAUCAUCUAGAAAAGAAAAUAAAAAUAUUAAAAAUAAGUAAGCCCCAUGUGAGUAUGUUCAUGGCAUAAAACCCAUAGGUACAUUCACUGUGGUGGCAUAAAAUAAAUAUGUUUUCAUCUUACAAUAAAAAUAUAAAAAUAAUAAGUGCAUGAUCCUGCUAAAUAAAUAACAUUUAUUGAGGAGGCUCAACAUCAUAAAGGCUAGAUAUUUAUACUAACACUUAACCAGUUCCACGAAGUUUUGUUGUCUAUUUGAGCUCCACAGAAUUCAAGGAUCAAAGAAGACUAGCAGACGGAGGACAUCCUAAUCGCUGUUAGGGUGCUGCCGAUAUUCAAAUACACCUCCGUCACCUGCUAGCUACAUCAGAAGAAAUUACGUCAAAAUCCAGCUUGGGGGAAAGCACCCCCAUUUAUCCAGCUAAGUGUUUCUACUCGCGUUUAUACUUUACUCAAAUAAUAAAAUGAUGCAUAAUCAUAAAAACCCAAAUAACUAUUUUGUGCUUUUAUAUAUAUCUUUGCUUAGUUUGCUAAAUAAAUUAAUAAAUAAAGUGUCUAGGCUAAACUGAACUUAAAUGAUAAACUCUUACAUGUAUAUAAUAAAUAGUUGCUCUGACAUAUACCUAGUUUUCAAGUUUGAGCUCUCUCUCAAGUUUAGGCAUGACUGUUAUGAAUUAAGAUUUGCUCUAAACCUGAACUUGUGGGAAGAGUACUUGAUCUUAAGUCUAAGUCAUUAACGGAUAUGAUAUGGGAAGGUUGAGCUGCUGUUUAUUUGUUCAUAGAUAUGCUAGAAUUCUGGAGAAUUUUAUCUUUAAAAAUCUUUAAAAUAACACAUGAUGAGUUCCUGUAUGAUGAGAGUUUAAAUUCCUACCACAGCCAUAUAUACAUGCUUGCUAGACUUUGAGCCACACAUUUACUUUUUACUGCUUAUGAGCAUUGAGUAUGGUCAAGCUGUGUAGACCCUUAGGAGCUUGUCAUGUGGUUAAAUCAAGAUUCACUUGCACGUUCACUCAUACAUGCUACUUCGACUCUAGAAGUACGCAUCCACAUACAUCCACUCAAUUCCAUCUCCAGAUUCACAUAAAAUUAUUCUACUCCUAAUCCGGGAGAGAAUAGCCAAAAACAUUAUCCUAUCCCUGUUAUUCCCUGUGAAAUAAAUGCUCGAGUUAUCUUGGUUACUACCACUUGCUAUAUUAUUUAAGGAGAUGAGUGCUCUAAAAAAAAGAGGAUACGAGGAAAUAAAAAGGAGCAAGUGCCCGAAACCUCGAAGAAAAGAAAAAGUGAGACGAGAGGUAAAAAUAGACAAGUGUCCGACAGUAGAAUUAGGGGUACAAUAUACCCACCUGAGAGGAAAGAAAAAAGAAAAUAUAGAGCAUCUCUUUCUCCCCAAAAAGCUUCAAAGUGCAAUAUCCCCUCAAAAGAGCAAAAGUAGAAUUAGACUUUCACCAUUAUUAUCACCAUCAUCACCAUACACCAUUCAUUCACCACACAUGCACAUCUUGAUUUGACUUAUUGACUCGUUUCUCUGGAUCCAUGGCUUGACUAUGCAAUAAAUGUCUUGUAAGUAUGUAUUAGCUGUCUCCCACCUAUGAGCUCCAGAUAUCAAUACCUUAUUAGAAUAGGGUGAGAGAGAAGGCAAUAUCACUAUGCCUCAUACCAAAAAUACCACAUACUUUGAGAGAAGGCAUAUACUAUUACUGC
rnacentral:lncRNA from 1 species